UAUUAAAAAUUGUAUCUGUUUCUAUUGUUAAAAAUUGGUGUUGCUGGUAGAAUAACCAAACAAUUACGCAUGGCGCGUCAUAUGUGCCUAAUUUAGACAUAAAUGGGCUAAUUUUUAAUAGUAAAAAUGGAUGAAAUUUUUAAUA
rfam:Gossypium arboreum cultivar AKA8401 contig_550_1, whole genome shotgun sequence.